rnacentral:rRNA from 1 species
GACGAACCGUGCGAACGUUAUUCGGAAUCACUGGGCUUAAAGCGCGUGUAGGCGGGCCGCCGCGUCGAGUGCUGAAAUCCCCCGGCUCAACCGGGGAACGGGCAUCGAUACGGGCGGCCUGGAGGGGGGUAGGGGGGCCUGGAACUUCCGGUGGAGCGGUGAAAUGCGUUGAGAUCGGAAGGAACGCCCGUGGCGAAAGCGAGGCCCUGGACCCUUACUGACGCUGAGACGCGAAAGCCAGGGGAGCGAACGGG